AGGCAGCAGUGGGGAAUAUUGCACAAUGGGGGAAACCCUGAUGCAGCCAUGCCGCGUGUGUGAAGAAGGCCUUCGGGUUGUAAAGCACUUUCAGCGAGGAGGAAAGGUUGGCGCCUAAUACGUGUCAGCUGUGACGUUACUCGCAGAAGAAGCACCGGCUAACUCCGUGCCAGCAGCCGCGGUAAUACGGAGGGUGCAAGCGUUAAUCGGAAUUACUGGGCGUAAAGCGCACGCAGGCGGUUGGAUAAGUUAGAU
rnacentral:rRNA from 1 species